rnacentral:rRNA from 1 species
CCUACGGGAGGCAGCAGUAGGGAAUCUUGCGCAAUGGGCGAAAGCCUGACGCAGCCAUGCCGCGUGAAUGAUGAAGGUCUUAGGAUUGUAAAAUUCUUUCACCGGGGAAGAUAAUGACGGUACCCGGAGAAGAAGCUCCGGCUAACUUCGUGCCAGCAGCCGCGGUAAUACGAAGGGGGCUAGCGUUGCUCGGAAUUACUGGGCGUAAAGGGCGCGUAGGCGGAUAUCUAAGUCGGGGGUGAAAGCCCAGGGAUCAACCCUGGAAUUGCCUUCGAUACUGGAUAUCUUGAGUACGGGAGAGGUGUGUGGAACUCCGAGUGUAGAGGUGAAAUUCGUAGAUAUUCGGAAGAACACCAGUGGCGAAGGCGACACACUGGCCCGUUACUGACGCUGAGGCGCGAAAGCGUGGGGAGCAAACAGGAUUAGAUACCCUGGUAGUC